ensembl:lncRNA
GGAAGUACAAUUAAAUCUAUUUUGCACCUAUGUGUUGGUGGACAGAUGAGUUUCCACAUGGCAGAGCUUUAUGAUCUUUAAGGUAGACUGAACUAAUAGAUUGGUGUGGAGCGCGCUGAAGUUACUAAGGAUGAGAAAGCAAGCAGCAGUACAUUUGAACUACAGGUUUCUCAUAUGCUCCACGUCAUGCUGAGUUUUUAUAGCUCCUGGCUUUCAAAAAGCCUGUUUCAAAGAGGUUUGCGCUAGACUGGGCAUGCAGUUUUGCUCUGCAGAUAUUGUCGCUACCGAUUUAGUGGAAUGCAAUUAGGAAGCCUAAAUUAAGUGGUAAUGGAGAACCAGCUCUUGAAACUGGGGUUUCCACGGCAACCAUUGCUUACAAUACAGCCUUCAGUUAGUUUUCCCACUUUAUCUGCAAAAUGCACAAUUGAGCUUUAAAACAGCUUUGUGCUGAAAAGCGCACUGUAAACAACUGUUUGCAAUGAGAUUUUUACACUGUCUUUAAAUACAACAAGCUAUCAAAUAAAAUUUACUUGUCCACACUAAUAAAAAAAAAAAAAGAAUCCAUGCAGUACAAGAAACUAAAGGGUCCAGAAACUUAUUAUUCAUUCUGGAAAUGUAUAUAUAAUACAAAAAUUCAAGAUCUUGUGGGUCCUCAGUUUGUCUUUUAAGUCUUAUCGUUAUUCCUCAAUUUUAAGACACAUAAUCCCAUAUCUCUCAGUACUGAGAAGAACUGAGUGUUUUGGUACAAAUACUGCAUUUAUCGCAAUAGUAAUGCUAUAUAGUUAGAAAGUGCUUUUUGUCUAACAUGAGCUAAUAAAUGUGCAUUUUCAUCAGUUCCUUUAACAUCUAGCAAUCCUUUACAGACUUUUUUUUUCAUUUUUCCCUCUGUAAUAUAUUAUUAUAUCCUUCAUAAAUGUUCAUAUUUUAUGGCAAAGUAACACUGUGCCACCUCUGAACUGCUUAACAUUCUUGAUUGCUUUAGGAUCAUAGCUCAACUUUUGCAUGUUGUCAAAUGUAACCACAGGCAAUUAAAUAUGUGUAAAGUACAGGAAAGUGGAAAGGUUGAUGUUAAGGUCAUAUGUGUAAUUUGUAUUGACCACCCUUUUCAUGAUAACCCCCUCAAACUGAACCUCUAAACUGAAAUUACGUAUUUGCAACCAAUUGUUUCUCCUCUGUUAUACAAUCACAAGUCUUGGACUAAUGCUGUCAGGUGACUUGUAAGAGCUGAGAUCCUGGCAGGUCUUAAUUUUCCCUUUGUUUCCCUUUUACAGCUAUUUGUUUUAAUCACGAUAAAAAUCUAACAGAAAACACUGUUUAAACUUCACCAAGAUAAUUUCAGAAGAGACAUCACUCAGUUUUCAUUUCUGGCCUAUCAGCUGUUAGAGUACUCUUUUAAGGCAGUGUUCUUCGGAAAAAGAGAAAAAACACACCACCAAAGGAUCGCACAGCAAGUCAAAACACACCUAAUUUGUGUUUCAGCUCAAGUAUAGCAACCCAAGCACCUUGCAGCCUUUCACGGCUGACACACUUGUGAGUGUGUGUGUUACAGCAACCAUGCCAGGUCAAUGCAGAGAGAGAGAAAAAGGGUGUGAGGGUGAAGGUGGUGGGAAGGGGAGAGAAAGGGGAGGUGUGGGUGCCUUCCCUUGGGAGCCUGCUGGUCAGAGGACUGUACCACGGCAUCCACACUCAUGUAUAAAUCUGGAUUUGAUGUAGUUUCCGCAGACUUUGAACGUGCCAGGCAGGGAAGCCUGCCCUUCACAGUACGGGUGCGCUUUCAGACGCGGUGAUCAGGCUGUGUCUAUUCUGAUCUGCUUAAAACAGCCUUUUCAGUGCUAACCAAAACAAGAAUGAGGACAGGAAGGCUGAUCGCAAAGUUCACAUCUCCUCCGCUGUGUGCCAGCACUAAUAGGAGUUUCUUCUGUGAUGGGUAGGUCAUAAAACACACAGCUGUAGAGACUGUGCAGGGUGAACAAAUCAAAGAACUUAGCAAUAAAAAUGAUGUGUGUGCCAAUAUUAUUUCAUAUUAACUUGUGAAAAUUGUUGAAGAAACACAUCUUUGUCAUAUAUCAGAAUUGGCUCUAAAGCUGAAUCAACGGAUUAAUAGGGUUAUUUGUAAUGAUAUUGUCCCAUAAAGGCUUUAUUAUUUAGGAAUCAGAGUUGGAAAUUGUAAUUUCUUCAAUGAUUUUUCAUCACAUAAAUUGGCCUGCCUCAACUCCUCCGUCUAGAAGGCAAGAGGAGAGGUUGAGCUGGUCCCCAUAUUCAUUCUUACACAAAAUCUGCUCAUUUGGAUGGAUCCCAAAUUUUAAAGAAACAAGUUCCUGGAAGGGAUGCAGAAUGCCAGUGUGCACAAGGCUUUCACAGGGCAUCUCGUUUCAACACUGACUGCCUGCAUUUUAUCAGAGUACUAAAGGACACAUUGAAAUUAUUUUGUUCUGGCACCAGCGCGCGUUGUGAUGUGUGUGCAUUCAAUUACACUUGACAAAUCUUUGGGGCAAACAAAAUGGUCUAAUGUAAGGAAAUAUCUUAGCAUAUUCCAAAAUGACAUUUUUAGACCAAACAUGUGUUCGAUUGAUUUGCCUUCUCCAGAGAUCACUUUUGAAUCCAGGCCCACGAUAAGUAGGGGGGCAGGCUCUCGCUGAAGGCCAGGCGGGUCAGCUGUGCUUCCGCUGGUAUUUCCUGAGCUGCAGAGUCCUGUACCUAACUGUACAAAUAGCUCCACAUGGCAUCCUGAGAGCGUGCCAGGGAAUUUUAUGAUCACACGCCAAGUAUGGUUGUCAGGUUCCACUCCACUGCUGUGUGUGUAUGUGUGUGCUCAUAUGUGUGUGUGGCUGGAGCUAACUUCAGACUGAGUAAUUACCAUAAUCCAAACAGGGCCUUUACCAUCUUAUUUGCAUUCAGCCAGCAGUGCUGUUUUUAUCAGCACCACUACUGAAUUGUUGCAAAGUUUUAAUUAUCUUGACAACUCUCCUUUUUUUUUUCAUUUGUUCCUUUUUUUUUUUUUUCUCCUCCCCCCCUUGGGUUGUGUUGGCUUUCAGCAGUCACCCCUCUAUGGCAGCAAUCAUAUUUCUGCAAUAGGAAGUUUUCACACUUUUUCUUCUUCUAGUAUAAUUCAUAGUAACCACCUCAAAGGCUUCUCAGAGUGGGGACAGAGGCAGAGGGAGGUUGUCUUUAUUAAUUAAUGCCUAAUAUUUUUCACAGCAAAAGUCACUCCAAAUGUCUCUUUUUAAAUUGUAUUUGAAUCACUGGUGUAACUUUACAUAUGUGUGUAGGCUUGCUGAACUGAAAGAAACCAUUUCUUAUGCAGAAAACUACCCCCUUGCAUAUAUGUUUGCCAGACUAGAGCUUUAGUUGUCAUGUUUUCUGUAUUUCCAUAAUCUUUUGAUUUAGGAUUAGUGUAAAAUGUAUCAUGUCACUUACUUACUUACAUUUGCUCUUUCUCAAACACUCUGCGUUUUCAGUAUCUGAAUGCAAAGUUAGGCAAAUUCAACCUUGAAAUAAGACACCAUUUCCUAGCAGUAAGGGUAAUUAAACACUGGAAGAUCUUACCCAGGAAGUAGGUGGACUCACCAUAUCUUAGAGUCUUUAAAAAGAGAUUAGACAACUUUCUGAAAGACAUGAUUUAAUACAGCUUCCAGGGAAAGAUUCUAGUAUAUGCACACAGGAGGUCAGACGAGACAGUCUCUGACGUACCUUUCGACUUCUGAGCCUGUUGGCCUAGAAAUCUAAGUUCAGAUAUGGUUUGGUUCAUGUUUAAAGAUCAGUUAUAAUAUCUACAUACAGAAAUUAUCUCCUGGGAACAUUAGGACAAAAUAUUUUUCAAAAUGGUGGUGCUGAACUAAAUUAGGUUUUGCUUGCUCAGUUUUCCAUUGCUUUUUGUUUUGCUUUUAUAAGUACUUAAAAAUCACAAACGUUAAUGCAGAUUAAAAUACUCCAGUAUGAGAUCGUUAUGGAGGAAUAGAAGGCUUUAAAGCCUAAAGAUUCACAGAACAAACGUAAAAAUUACUUUUAGUCCGUUGGAUUCUCAGAUGCAAUAAAUGUUUUAAAAAUAAGUACAGUUAAUAUUUUUCUAACCAUGGAAUACUAUGAUUGUAUUUAGCUUCUCAUCUCUUAUGAAGUUUAUGCAUCAGAUUGAAUAUAAUUGCUAUCAAAUGGUAUGGUAGUAUUCUGUUCUCCUGAAAGGUAAACAAAUUCUGCUUAACAGUUGUUAGACAUUUGUUUUGCUGUAGUUUGGUCUUAUAAACACCUUAUCCUUGUUUUCCCUUUAAAAGGAAAAAAAAAAAAAUAAAGGUAAGAACCAUUAGGGAUUUCUCUUUAAAUCCAGCAAUCUAUGCAUACUCCUAAGAAUCAAUGCUCAGUAAGCUGUCUGGUGUUCUGCAAUAAAUUCUAGCUUUUAUAGACUUUUGCUGGGCCAGGUAGCUGCUAAUGCCAUAGAAAUUGAUUAUUUGUGGUGUUCUUAUCACUGCUUAAAAUAUCUAAUUGCUUUUUCUCCACAGAUUUGGAUUUGGCUUGCUUGAUGCUGGGCGAUUAAUGAAGGAAGCCCUAACUGGACAAAUAAAAAAAAUGACAGUAAGAUGUGGAUGUUCAUCUUUAAUGAACAAAAUUAUCAUCUUUACCAAAGUGGAAACCAGCUAACUUUUACGGUGCGACUGACGACCUACUUAGCAAUAGCUGAGUAUUCACUCCUUCUUGAAAUGGUAAAGUAACAUUGUAUCCAUACCUAAGAUGAAGAACCACCUGUUGCUCUAGUAAUUUUUUUCUCUCCUCCGUAUAAUUUCUUGGGACCUUUCUCAUUACUUGCAGCAGCAGGAUGUGCUGGCUAGUAUUUAUGUAGUCAGAAAUUUUAACUUAGAAUUACAGCCUGUACAAUCCUGUCAAGUACUCAGAAUUGUUAUGUUUAUGUAUUUUAAUCUUUGUAAGGUAAGGAGUCCACUCAUAAUCUAAUUGGUUUUGUUUAUUGUUGUGUUUGCCGUUUUACAGAAUAGUUCACUGGAAGGUGCCUACUUUAUAAUGUCCUCACUUCUUAAUAAAAGAUCUUAU